AUGUGCGAACGCGAAAGUAAACCGUUUUUUAACGAGUUUGACCUUGACUUCACUAAGCCAACAAUAAACUACAAAUUAUACUACAGACAUGAUCAAAAGAGGACCCACGCGUAUUGUACUGAAGUUGGAAGAUCUCGAGGAAUUCGAUAACAUUAAAAAGGAGCUGGAACAAAAAAGAAGAGUGGAACAAGUUGUGGGCUUGAGCCCAACUGAAAAGAACGGACAGGCAGGCACAUCCAACGGGGCAGCGGCCCACCAAGAAACUGUAGUUCCCGCUGGCGAGGUUGUUGACGCGAAGACCCGCGAUGAAAGGAUUCGUGCACGGAUUGGAUUCGAUCCCAGACCUGUUCCAUCUACUUCAAGUCGAAUUGGAGAAUUUAGAGGUGGCGAGUGACUCUACUAAUUAGGAACAUGCAGCAGCAUAAUUUGGAUUUCAGAAGCAACCUGGAUCGUGCUGGUUGGAUGCUGAGAACAGAUGUUCAUGCGGGAUUAUGAAAUACAUACAGGACAUGUCCAGCAAGAUCAUGAACAUGUCCAAAUUUGCCAUUCUCCUGCCAGCAGUAUGCCCAAUUCUGGCAGUGCUACCUGAUGUUUGAGUCUUGGACAAGUGUUGACAUCAGAUCCAUGGUCUAUGAUGGAUCUUGAUGUACAUGGUUGAGAUGCCGAACUGAGUUUGAACACGUGUACCGAUUUGUAGAGCCUCAAUUAAAACAUGUUUCUAUCUGAAAGGACGCUCACCAUUCAAUUCACUCUCACUUGAAGUUGAUCCUUAUUUCCACUGAUACUAAGAAGAAGAAGCUGCUUAUGUCAUGUUCACAGAUUUCACCCCUAAAAUCAGGUUGGAGAAUAUAGAGGUGCAAUUAACCAUGUUAAGGAUGAACUCUUGUGGAUGACCUUCAUGACCAUGCAUCUCCAGAAUUAUUUUGAUAUAAAACAAAUCUCAAAAGAGACAAGAUGAUGGGUGAUUCAGUCAUACUUCUGUUGAGCUCGUAGCAAAAAAGUCAACACUUAUAGUGGUAGAAUUUAACUAAAUUCUUAAAUGUAAAUUGAUACCAUUUAACAUUAACAUUUUUAGCUUAAUAUUCAUGACUUUGUGGAAAAUAUCUAAGUGGGUUGAUUGGAUAAAGAAGUGUGAAACUACUUGUACAUCAUUUUUGGGAUGUAUUGUUGACGACUUAAUAUUUUUCCUAAAUAUUUCCUGUAUGAGAUUUAGAUUUUAAAUUCAUCAGGUUCAAUGGACCCACUUGCUCUAAAAUUCCAAAGCUAUCAUUUUAUGCUUUAUUUUCUUUAAUAAUUUCAUAGAAAUCGUUCUUUCAUGAUACAGUUGAGACAGCAAUUUAAGUCAACAUUCUAGUCAAACGUUCAGGUGGAGGGGGAGGGGGGUGUUUCACAGGAAGAGUAAGUGUGACUUAUACCUUGAGUCAUGCUUCAACGUCAAUGCGCACAUUUUAUGUUAUUUAACGCGUAAUCUGAGUGAUGGAUAUGCAGUAGUGCGCCCCCUGUGCGCAUGAUCUGACCAAUGCAGUGAUACGUUAUAUAAUGCAUGUCGCACGCAACUGAAAUUUAAGUGCGACCCCAAGUCACACUUAAAUCUUUGUGAACCACCACCUGGUCUAAAAAAAAAGCGUCAACUUGGUUAAAUGUUUUACAGUUUAUAGAAGGUUGAUUUGGGCAAGUAUUCUAGAUCAUGCUCAAAGGGGAUGUUUACCCUGACAAUAAGUUGGUUUUGAUGAAAGAAGAAAAAAUUGAGAGAAAUGUAGUCAAAGUUUUGAUGAGAAUCCAUAAAAUCUAAGAAAGUCAUAAAUCUUGAAGUUUCUAUUUUAUGACGUCAUAUACAGGCAGCUUCCCCAUAUAUCAUGUAAUGUAAAUUCCAUGAAUUCCAAUCUUGUAAUGGAAUAUGAGGAAAUACAAAUAUUAUUCUUACAGAAAUGGGUAUGAAAUGAUGAGUCUGAUGACAUAUCCACCACACAGAUGAAGUCACUUUCAAGUUUAUGGGGAAAAUAUAUUUUCCACAAAAUAUGGAGGAGCUGGUGUAUGUGACAUCACAAUCCCGAAGCUUUAAAAAUUCACAACUCCUUAAUUCUUUGAUGGAUUUUCAUCAAUUCUUCAUCAAUAUUUUUCUCUAUAUUUUCUGCUAUUUUUGUUAAGAACUUAUUUUUCUUUAUCAGGGUGGACUUCCCUUUCAAUUCUGUGAUAGCUUUUAAAGUCUGUCUAAAGCUUUGUUAUAGGAUUAGUAAUGUGGAUUAUACUUGAGUAUAAUCAAAUAUUCCAAUAUUAUAACUUUAAAUUUUUCUUUCUUUCAUUCGUUACAGUUUUAAUUUGGCAUCUAGCACCCUCUCUCUGAAUCGCUUUUAUUUUAUUUCAAAUAGCUCUUCAAGCACCUAUUUUACAGAUUUAGUAAUUGGAUAUUAGAAAGCCACGGGCAAAGAUUAUAUCCUGAAAUUUUCAGCCCAUUACAUGCUUGAGAGGGGGUUGUAUUUAUGUAAACAAGACAUAAAUACAUGUAUGCAGAUAUUUCAUUUUGAUUCGCCACCAGGGGGCCGUUUCAUAAAGCUGUUCUUAAGUUAAGAGCGACUUUAAGAAUGACUGGUGAUCCUUUCUUACGUGCAAAACCAUCGCUAAUGAAUAUACCAUUCGCCAUAAGAAAGGAUCACCAGUCAUUCUUAAAGUCGCUCUUAACUUAUGAACAGCUUUAUGAAACGCCCACCUGAUUAAAUUAAAUGUUGAUGUAAAAUUGGUAAAUUAUCCAAUAAAACACAGUUUUAGUUAAUAUCCUUCAUACAUUAACCCUUUGGGGGCACAUGUAUUGAUAUAAUCUAGUACUGGGCCCCGUUUCAUAAAGGACUUGCAACUGUUGUAACUUUGCCAUUAUGGCAAUUACCAUGGAAACCUUGAUUCUGAUUGGCUGAUGAGCUCUGUUACCAUGGUAGUUGCCAUUAAAUGACAAAGUUGCAACAGUUGCAAGUCCUUUAUGAAGCGGGCUCCUGAAUUGGAAUAGUGAUAUGCCAUUUAGGGGGAUUCUCCAAAACUAAAGAUAGACUUUAAUAUGUCUUGAAAUUUUGAAAGUGUUUUGUUGUAUAUUUUGUGUUUUGAUUCAACAAGUUCUACAAUUGGGGCAGUAAUAUUUUUGUUACACACGCUCAUUUCUCUUGCAUUACUGAAUAUAUUAUUCCUUUAUGACAGAAGAUUAUAAAAAAGGAAAAUAAAAUGUUAUUCCAUUUAAAAUAAUAUGAUUUAAACUGAUUUAAUGGAAACAUGUUCAGCUGAAGAUAUAUUCAACAGGCUAACCAGUAUAUUGUAUUUUCAAACUGUAUGAUGUUUGAAUCAAACAUCAUACAUGUACUAUGCCUUUCUGUUCUGUUAGACGGAUAAACAUGUAAUGUUCAGCUUCGACAUGACAAUGCCAAGAAGAAUGGUUAUUUAUAACAGACGAUUUUUGAAAAUUGAACCAAAUAUAUGAGAUUUAUAAUAAUA